rnacentral:rRNA from 1 species
GCGAGUGAGCGGCAAAAGCUCAAAUUUGAAAUCUGGCGUAUUCUGCGUCCGAGUUGUAAUUUGAAGAAGGAUACUUUGGGGUUGGCUCUUGUCUAUGUUUCUUGGAACAGAACGUCACAGAGGGUGAGAAUCCCGUGCGAUGAGAAGCCCAAUUCCGUGUAAAGUGCCUUCGAAGAGUCGAGUUGUUUGGGAAUGCAGCUCUAAGUGGGUGGUAAAUUCCAUCUAAAGCUAAAUAUUGGCGAGAGACCGAUAGCGAACAAGUACAGUGAUGGAAAGAUGAAAAGAACUUUGAAAAGAGAGUGAAAAAGUACGUGAAAUUGUUGAAAGGGAAGGGCUUGAGAUCAGACUUGGUAUUUUGUAUGUCUUGCUUUCGGGUGGGGCCUCUGCAGUUUACUGGGCCAGCAUCGGUUCGGGUGGUAGGACAAUUGCGAAGGAACGUGGCACUGCUUCGGUGGUGUGUUAUAGCCUUUGUGGAUACUGCCUGUCUGGACCGAGGACUGCGUCAUUUGACUAGGAUGCUGGCAUAAUGAUCUUAAGUCGCCC